AUUGAACGCUGGCGGCAUGCUUUACACAUGCAAGUCGAACGGUAACAGGCCGCAAGGUGCUGACGAGUGGCGAACGGGUGAGUAAUGCAUCGGAACGUGCCCAGUCGUGGGGGAUAACUACUCGAAAGAGUAGCUAAUACCGCAUACGAUCUAUGGAUGAAAGCGGGGGACCGUAAGGCCUCUCGCGAUUGGAGCGGCCGAUGUCAGAUUAGGUAGUUGGUGGGGUAAAGGCUCACCAAGCCAACGAUCUGUAGCUGGUCUGAGAGGACGACCAGCCACACUGGGACUGAGACACGGCCCAGACUCCUACGGGAGGCAGCAGUGGGGAAUUUUGGACAAUGGGCGUAAGCCUGAUCCAGCAAUGCCGCGUGCAGGAAGAAGGCCUUCGGGUUGUAAACUGCUUUUGUACGGAACGAAACGGCUCUGGUUAAUACCCGGGGCUAAUGACGGUACCGUAAGAAUAAGCACCGGCUAACUACGUG
rnacentral:rRNA from 1 species